rnacentral:pre_miRNA from 1 species
AGUAAAAUUGCUGGGUUGUAUGGUAAAUUUAUGUUUAAUUUUUUUAAGAAACUGCCAAACUAUUUUCCAAAAUGGCUGGACCAUUUUACAUUCCCAUCAGAAAU